CACCCAGGCGCCCCAAAUCUGACCAUUUCUUUAACUCCAGGCUUAUCUUGUCUCUGCCCUGAACUUGUUUCAGCAAUAACCAGAUUGCUUGGAGGUGCUUCUCCUGCCCUGCUGCACACCCAGCAGGCUGAUUCUUUUCCUCUUGGCUGGGCUCAGAAUGCCAGGCCUCCCUGCGUCUUCACACAUACCUUACCUGGGUGCCUCCUCCCCUUUGUUUUAAAUUCACUUCUUUCGUGGAAAAGCCUUCCUUUCCUUCCCCACCACACCGUAUGAGAUAUUCUUCUCUGUUGUACUUUGUGAAUUAAAUUAUAGUUAGGUUUAUGUGUUUGCUUUUUCUAAAUUGUGACUGCCUUCAUCUUUAUGUACCUAGAAUUAGUCAGACCUGCAAUUAAUUUAGACUAAAUGAGAAUGAAUGCUCAUUCAUUCAGAUGUCAAGAAUGGACAUGGAUGUUCUGUGAAGCUAGAAGUAUGUGCCACUGUGAAAAUCAGGUAAUGGCAGUACUUUCCUUGUGGCAGAAAAAAAAUAUGAGUACGUUUUAUCAAUUUCAAUUUCUUUUUUAAGUUUCUUUAUUUAUUUUGAGAGAGAGAGAGAGAGAACGUGAACACGAGGGAGGGGCAGAGAGAGAAAGGGAGGGAGAGAAUCCCAAGCAGUCUCCAUGCUGUCAGCGGGGACCCAGACAUAGGGCUUGAACCCAUGAACCGUGAGAUCAGGACCUGAGCUGAAAUUAAGAAUUGGGCACUUAAUUGACUGAGCCACCCUGGGGCCCCUCAAUUUUAAUUUUUUACACAUAUUUUUCUUCACCUUCAGUUACAUACUUCUUUGUAACCAAAUGGAUGAAUAAGUAGCAUGUAUAUGUAUAUGUUUUUGAAAAACAUGAAAAUAGACUUCCAUACUUUGUAUGAUAGGUUUUUGUUUUUCUGUGGGAACAUUCUUAUGACGUGAUUAUUUUCUGCCACUAAAGUUGUCCUAAACGUUUAUGAUGGAUUUUAACAUGUCAGUAUUUCAUGACAUUCCAUGUCAUUUAUGGCAUUCUGUGUAAUUCCUAGAGCAACAUAUACUGGGUGUUCAGUAAAUAUUCUUGUGGACUAAUGUACCAUAAGUUCUAUCUCAUAAAGAUUGGCAGCCAAUAGAGAAUAAACAUGUUUUAUUUCAUUUUCCUUGAAAUGAACUCAGAUUCUUAGGUUCAAGAUACUUGGAAAAUAUAAGACAUAUGAGAAUAUGGCCAAGGCUUAUUUGAUGUAUUAUUCUCACAUUCUCUUCAACUAAUGUUUUUCAGAAGUUACUUUAAACGCUUUAGAGUCCUUAUAUGCCUUUAAUAAUAUUUUAACAUAGCUGUCUUCUGCCUCACGGUCUCUUUUUUUCCAGGCUAACUUGUCAUUUCUUGUAGCUGAAUAGUUACCCUGAUGAUGGUUGGGUUUUGCUUGGUCAGCAUUCAUUGUAAGUAUGGCAGAAGUUUACUAAAUUUAUACUUAGCUAAUUAAGAGUUUAUAAUAAUUCUGACAUGCUGAUGUGAACUUUCUCUGUACUGUUUAAAGCAAAGAGAAAAGGAUUUGCUUAGCUAAUUAAAACUAAGCAAGAAGGAAUGUUUAAUCUACUUGAGGCAAACCGAUAACUUUUCAAGCAUGUAAAAUCAACACAAACUAAGGAUAUGCCAAUUAAAAUUAUUUAUUAUUAUUUAAAGCAUUAAUGGAUUCUCUAAGGCACAACUUUUGUCUGCCCUCUUCCUUGGAGUUUGUUGAGGUUAUUAGGAAAUAGGGACCCAUUGGUCGUUUUUUUUUUUUUUUUCAAUAUAUGAAAUUUAUUGUCAAAUUGGUUUCCAUUGGUCGUUUUAAAAUUGUUUGUUCGUGGCUCACAGUAAGAAAUACAUACUGCAUUGUUAUCCAGUAACAACAUACAUGUAAUUGGAGCAAAAGUUGUAGAAAACAAUAUUUAACCUUACCUUUUAUUUCUGUCUUUAUUCUCUUAUGUUCAGAUUUUUAAAAAGUGCUUCUUGGGACUGACUAAAUUGAUUUUACAAAUUGGUCAAGGACUGUGGUUUGAAAGAAGUCCUUAUGCCGAUUGUGAACUUGAGUGCAGGGACUCUGUUUCCAGGUCCUAGCAGUGUUUGGCAUGAAGCAGGUGAUCAGUAGAUAUUAAUAGAAUAAAUUGGUUGGAAAGAAGAGUAAGAAAUGAAAUAGGAGCUAUAAAAGGAGUAGAUGUUUUUGGCAAUAUGGUGCUUGGAUGUGAUUAAGGCAGCGGAGGCAAAGUACUUGUAUUACUGUUGUCAGGUAACAGAAACCAGCUUGGAGCUAGCUUAAGCAAAGAAUAUAUUAAAAGGAUUCAGGGUGUCUGUCAGAACUGAAGGGCGGGUGUGUGUCUUGUGACUUGGGAAAGGAUCGGAAACUAGGGACUGGAAAGCCUUCAAGAACCCAGGCAUGUUAUUCUGCAUCUUUUCAUCUCUGCUUCUCUUUGCUUGGCUGCCUUUUUUUUUUUUUUUUUUUUCCUUUUCCUUGCUAUGGAAUGGUUUUCUGUGAUGCUCAGUCCAUAUAACAGACAAUUUAUGUCCAGGGCUCCUGAUUUUAUAUUUCAGUCCAGGCUUUAGUGAUUUGUAUAUGGUAGAAUUAGUAAAUUCGUCUUUUGAUACGUACUGUGUGCUAGGUGUUAGUAAUCUCAAGUCACUAGUUUUAGACUAGAUCUCUUCUGUCAUCCUGCUCUGAAGUUUAGUGUUUCUCAUGGCUUUGUUUUACCUUCUGGGUCAUAUGAAUGCAUUGUGUGCAUGUGUACGUGUUUGAUCAUUGCUUGCAGAAGUGGCAAUCCAGCACACUUUGCAGCAUCCAUUCCUAGUACUGGGUUAGGUUGUGGGAUGGUUACAAAGAUGAAUGUAGUGUAUUUAGAGUGGUUUUGCCCUUUGAAGGUUGUGAGCCUGUUCCAGCAAAGUGCAUCAAGUCACGCACAGAUGAGCUGAAUUCAUGAUGUUAGUUCAAAAUUAGUCUUUAGUUUUUUCCAUACCCAGUUUCCAUGCCCUGUUUGUCACAUUUACCUGUGUCCUUCUUAUCUGGGAUGAAGACCUGCUUUGAUCUUUCUUCACUUUUCGGUUCACUAUUUGUAUUCUCCAUGUGGGCUCCAGCCUUUAUUUCAGUAUCAGUCCUUGUAGUCUGAUCCAGGGGCUGCUAUAGCUAUGAACUGCCCUCGAGGGAGUCUUCGUGCAUUUUGGGCCGCUCUUGGACUGAAGUCAGAAAAAUCAGAGAGCUGGACCAGAAAUUAUGGUUCUUAUCUACAGGAAACACAGACUGAUGGAGGAGGUAAAAACACAAAUAUUUUUAGUACAACAUUAUAAACAUCAUAAUUCAAGUUUGAACCAAGUGCUACAGGAUUGUUUAUGCCAGUGCCUGUCACAUAGUAGGGCCUCCAGAAAAACUUUUGGAAAGACAAAGUAAAUGCAUGGGAGUGUUCCUCUGCUGUAGCCUCAUCGAAGAGGUUAUCGUAUGCCUUUAAUAAUAAUUGAGCAGACUUUGUAAAAUUUGGGUGUGUGUGGGUAAUGGAUUGUGCAUUUUUACUAUAAGAAGAGCUUAUGUACAGGAACCAGGUUGUGGCCUGAUGGAGAGCACUUGAGUAUCAAUUGGUUAUGGUAUUGGUUAUAGUAAGAGAAUAGCUGAAGGGGCUGGUCAGAACUAGGUUGAGAAAGGCCUUCUGGACCAUGGUAGGGUAUUUGGACAUCAUUCUCUGAGAACCACAUGAGAAUUUCCCAUGAAGGAGUAAUGGGAGGAGACUGGUUUUUACAGGUCACUCUGUGGUCAGUCUCAGCCUGGGGUGGCAAGAAAUUGGCCAUAUGGACAUGAAUUAAGAUGCUCUUUUAAAAGUCUAGGCAGGGGUGAUGGAGGUGCCUACAGGCUGUGGCAGUGAGGGUGAAAAGAGCUUAAAUUUGGGGAGAUAGACAUUUUAGGGCUGUUUGGCUUCAGUGCAGGGUCAGAUUUCAUCAGUCAGGUCCACUCCAUGUACACGGUAGAGGCUAAUGAAGCUAGGUCUUAGGUACACCAUGCCCUUCCUCUGUGUCCUUCAUGACUCUGAUCCUAUGUCUGUCUGGUUCAUCAUUCCUUAGCCGUGUCUCCAGUUUUCCAGUCUUGUAGUUACUUCUUAAACCUGACUAUAGAAAUUUGGCUUUUGGUUAUCACUCACCCUCAUACCAGUCAUAUGUGGAUGCUUUGAGGGCUAAGAUGAGACAAACAGAAAACAACUACCCAGUCUUACAGGGGAGAUAGGCAUACACAUAGUUACUAUAAAUCGUAUUCAAUGCUUUCAUGAAGGUAUGGACAGAGUACUGUGGAAGCAAAGAGGAAGGACUGCCUGAUGCUCCUGUGGUCAGUUAAGAGAGAGGGAGAGUAAAAGCUCUAGUUUAGUGCUGGUGGAUGAGUAUGUCAGCUAAGAGAGAAUUUGAGGUGCCUAUGGGGUAUUCAGGUGGAGAUUAUCAGGAGAGGGUUGGCAUGAUGGAUGUAUGUGAAGGAGCAGUAGGCCUGGACCUUGACCGCUCAUCAGAGAAACUAACCAACAACAAAACCAGGCCCUGUCACUACACAUGGAGACUCUGAUUUAAUUAACCUGGGAUAGGGACCCAGCUUGGUAUGUUCUAAAUGACUGAGGUGAUGCUAAUAUGCAGCUAGAGGUGACAGUCAUUUUAAUUCAGGGAGAGGUUUUCUUGGAGAUAGUUGAGUAUAGCUGAUAGCUGAAGCCUUAUGUAUAGAUCAGUUUGGGAACAGGGAGAAUUAGAAGAAAAAAGAACCAGACAAAAACCCUAAUUAGGGAACGCCAGCAUUGUGGUUGGAGGCAAGGAUGUGCCAGCCGAGGGGAACCUGCAAACACAGUCCCUAAAUCUUAAUUGCACCCUGUUUUAAUUUAUGUUAUUAAUGUAUAUUUUGUGUAAUCUUCUUUCUUAUGAUCCAGAGUGAUUUUGUAUUGGGAUACCUUUAAUGCCUGAUUCACGUAUAUAUUUUGAUUGACAGGCUGAUGAAACUGAUAAACAUUAAUCCUUUUGUCACUGAUGUGGAAAAUCAUGACCUUUAAUUCUCAUCCACAGCAAAUAUCUGUAUCUGCCUCCAAGUUUAUUUAGAAGAAGAAUGCAUGAAAGUAACAAUUUCCAAGAAUCCAUUUUAUUUUCUGAAUUCAAAGUCACCUGUCAUUUUUGCCAUAAAUUCUUUGAGGCAUGAAAUAGCCUGCCAGUUGUCUAUUGCUCUCAAAGUUAAUGAAUGGUUAUCAAUUUAUCAUGGGUAAUAACCUAGCCGCAAAUUGUAAAGAAGGCAUUCUGUCACUUCCUAGCAUUUUUGCCUCAAGGCUGUAUCUGCCUUUUCUGCAGGAUUGGGAGGUUCCGUCUCCCUAAAGCUUUUAACAGAGCACAUUUCUUACUUGGAAACCUCUUUACACUUACUAAUAGUGCAGUGAAAUAUUAGCUGGUAUAUCUUGCUUUGUGUGAUAGAUUUUGUGUAAAUAAAAUUUCAUGUACAUGUAGGAUGCCAUAAUUUUACAUUGAACCAAUACAGCAUUUUAGGUUUAGAGAUAUUUAAUUUUUAUUUCCAAUUCAUUAUUCUGCUCAGUUCUUACAAGUAAAAUGUAGUGAUUUUCCAGUUCUCUAGCUUCUUGGUUAGGUAGUUAAUGAUUGGAAAAAUGGGACUGUUUCAAGGAACCUUACUUUUUAAAGGUAAUUCCCCACCUCCCAAAAAAGAGAACUCUGUAACAUGAGCUUUUUCAGAUCAAGUACUUGGACUUGGCUGUAUCCUUAUUUAAAGACAGCAACACAACAAACCGGGUCCAUAUCUUAGGCAACUUCACAUUUCAGGCACUGAGCAUAAUAUAAUUCAGUGCAUAUUUGUUGAAUUGAAUUAAUGUGAACUGUCACUGUACUUCCUCAGUUGUAAGUUUGUGGUGUUGUAAAGUGUCCCAUACUUACGGAGGACAGUGAUUUAACCCCAUAUGUGGGUUUUAUCCUCACAACAUAAACAGACACACAGCUAACUGUUUCUUUUCAUUUACAGACUUAAGAAUUUCAGUCCCAGUUCUUUCAUUGUUAAAGAGCUGCCCUCAGAACAACUGGUCCUAUUGUUUUAUGUAAGAAUUCUUUGUGUAUUUUUAUCUGUUUCAUUUUGGCUUCUUCAAAGGAGCCGUGCACAGUGACUUGUGUAUAGAAGUGUUUAGAUUACUUAGUGACUGCUUUAAUGAAGCAGGAGAAUAAAUAGUACUGAGAUUUCUUUGAGGUUUUAGUGUGUUUUCAGUAAUCUCUGAUCAGUUAUUACCAUUGCUAUAGGUUAUUUACUUCUAUAUUCUUAAAAAGCUCCAAAUCCUCUCGGCUUCUAAAAGUUGGAGGAAAUAAAAUUCUGCUCUGAUUGACUGCUUUUUGUAUUCUCGUUCCUAAAACAUAUAUGGGAAAGCAGAGAGAAGUUCUUCUAUUAUUAGUUAGCCUUAUUUUAUUUCAUGCAUUGCUUUGUGUUCUCUUUGUGUGUUUAUUCUAUGUCCCCAACCAUAUAAUCAGUAUUUUCCUUGAUGGAACCAUAUCUUAGGUUUCAUUAUAAGUGGUGCAGAGAGUUGUGCUCAUAGUAGGAACUGUGCAAAUUGUUGACUGGUUGCUUGGCUGACUGAGAAGUUAUGGGGCUCACCUUGACACUGAAGGCAUUUAACCCUGUCAAAAUGCACAACAGCUUUUUAUGGAUGCAUAUCUGUCCUAUAAAAAUAUUUCCUAGAGAGAAUUGCAGUUUCCCUUCUCAACUCAUUUCAUAGCUGAAUGAGCCUUACUUUUCAGGGAGCAUAUUUCUGUAUUUCUUCAGGAUUUCUCUUUCUGCAGUGUGAACAAUUUUCUCACACAUGGACCUAAUGUGAGUCAGCUGGGCGGAAGCAGCUGUCUUCAUCUGGGCAUUAACUGCUCAACUUUAGUCAAGGUCCUUAACUAGAAUAGGAGCCAAUGAGAAGAUCCACGUGUACCUUUUAGAUUUUCCCCUUCUGUCUCUUUGUUUGGAAAGUUGGUGUUUUUCAGGUAGUAAACAUGUUCACUGUUGUGUGAGCACAGUUGAGGCUUACUAAUAAUUUGCCGAAAAGCUCCUCUGUAUCCUGUCCAUGCUCUUGGGCUGGUGACACAAGACAUUACAGUUGUUGAGGGCUGGCCUUAAAUUGGGUAUAAACAGAUUACUUACCUGAUCCAGGUAGGUGGGGGAAGGGAAGGGUGGGUCUUUUAAGCUUGGUACUUUUGAGUACCUUCUUUUAAGCUACUCUUGUAGCUUAGGUGCUUGAGGAGCCCUUGGCGUCUUUUGAAUACCUCACUUCCUAUUCAUUUGGAGGUCGUAUUCACUGAUAAACUAGCAGAGAUGUAAAGUUUUAUUCAAAUAGGAGCUGUAUAUUUCUUUUUAAUUCCAGUUAGGUUUUUUUUUUCUUGUCACUAGUAUAAAGGGCGCCUUUAUUAUAAAUAUAUUUUCUAAGUGUUUGUUGUUAACAUAUCAAAAUACUAUUGCUUAUUUAUUUGAUGUUUUGUAAUCAACCACUCUCCUGAAUACUCAUUUCUAACAGCAUUUUGGUUUCUUCCCCCUUGGGUUUUCUAGCUACAGUCAUAACAUCUGAAUGUAUGGGUACUUUUUUCUUCUUUCCAGUAUAGAGAUUUAUAUAGUGUGGUGGUGACGAGCUUGGGCUCUCGAACCACUCCCUGGCUGGGUUUUUAUGGCACCUUCAAUAACUCGCUAGUGUGUGACUUUAGGCCAGUUACUUCCCUAUGUCCUUCCAUCUCCCCAUCUGUAAAAUGGGAUAAUUAUAGUACACUUUAUAGGAUUGUUAUGAAGAUUAUAUGAAUUAAAUUAAUAUUUAUAAAGUGCUUAAAACAGUGUCUGGCACAUAGUAAGCACCAUAAAAAUGGUUGAUGAAUAAAAAAAAGCAUAUCUUUUUUCCCUUGCGUUGGCUAAUACUUCUAGAUCAAAGUUAAAAAAUGAUGGUGAGGGCUCCUGGGUGGUUCAGUGGGUUAAGCGUCUGACUCUUGGUUUUGGCUCAGGUCACGAUGUAAUUAUUUAUGAGUUCAAGCCCCAUAUCAGGCUCUGUGCUGACAGUAUGGAGCCUGGUUGGGAUUCUUUCUCUCUCUGCCCCUCCCUGACUUCUAUGCCCGUGCACAUGCAUGCACCCUCUCUCUCUCUGUCUCUCUCAAAAUAAAUAAACUUAAAAAAAAAUGAUGGUGAGCUUGCUUCAUUCCUUCUGAUGCUUUGUUAUUUUAAUGUUUCAGUCAUGUUUCCAAUGAAACAUUAGAGAGUUUUGGACCGAUAUAAAAUUUUGCGUUUUUCAGUUAUAUUAAAUAGUCAUCUAUUGCUACUUUGCUAAGUGUUAAAAAUCAGGAAUGAUUUAAAAAUUUUGUCUUGGGGCGCCUGCGUGGCGCAGUCGGUUAAGCGUCCGACUUCAGCCAGGUCACGAUCUCGCGGUCCGUGAGUUCGAGCCCCGCGUCAGGCUCUGGGCUGAUGGCUCGGAGCCUGGAGCCUGUUUCCGAUUCUGUGUCUCCCUCUCUCUCUGCCCCUCCCCCGUUCAUGCUCUGUCUCUCUCUAUCUCAAAAAUAAAUAAACGUUAAAAAAAAAUUGUCUUAUGCUUUUUGGCAUACACUGAGAUGAUCAUUAACUUUUCUUUUUUCUAUUUAUAUGGUUCUUUAUAUGAGUACAUUUCCUACUAUUCAACUCUUCUUGCAUCAGUGGAAUGAAUACAUUGUACUCAUAGCUUAUCUUUCACUUAGAGCACUUCUGUGCUCUUUUGGUGUUACUUUUAAAGUUUUUGCAUUAAUAUUUGCAAGUGAGAUUUGACAGUAAUUUGUCAUCUGUUCUUUGUCAGGUUUUGGUGUCUGUGUCAUGCUGUAGUAUUUGACAGUUUUCUUUCUUUUUCUAUACUCUAGGAAAGUUUACAUUGUAUUAUUUCUUUUUUUUUUAAAUUAAAAGAGUAUUAAAUUAGGAAGGGAGUGAGAGAUUUAGUCUAGCUGUCUUAAUGUUAUACAUGAGGAAACAGUGGCUUGUUUAUAGCUACUUGAUGGUAGCUACCUAGGUGUUAGCAGUUGGGGUUGUGCAAUGGGGGUGAAGAAGUAACAUUUAUUAAGCAUAGACUUAGGCAUUUGAAAACAAUAUCAUACUUUUGAUGUAUGCGUUAAAUGUACGUUUGCUCAUUUGAAAUCUAUAGUCAAGAGUAUAAAAUCUUAUUGAUUUUUUUAAAAAAUGGACUUUUCCCCCCAAUGAACAGUUUUAGAUUCAUAGCAAAAUUGAGUGGAAAGCACAGAGAGUUCCCAUAUGUCCCUACCCCUGCACCUGUACAGCCUCACCCACUGUCAACAUCCCCCCACUGGGUUCGCUCAUGGAGUUGGUUGUACAUUCUGUGGGUCUGAACAAAUGUAUGAUUGCAUGUGUCCAUCAGCAGAGUAGCACACAAUUGUUUCACUGCCCUAAAAAUCCUGUGCCCUGCCUAUUCAUCCCUCCUUUUCCCUUGACCCCUGGAAACCACUGAUAGAUAUUUAAGAAUUUUUUUUAACAUUUAUUUAUUUUGAGAGAGAGAGAGAGAGAGACAGAGAGACAGAGCAUGAGUGGGGAAGGGGCAUAGAGGGAGACAGAAUCCAAAGCAGGCUCCAGGCUCUGAGCUGUCAGCACCGAGCCCUACACAGGGCUUGAACCCACAAACUGUGAGAUCAUGACUUGAGCUGAAGUCCGAGGCUUAACUGACUGAGCCAUCCAGGUGCUCCAGAACCACUGAUACUUUUAUUAUGUCCAUAAUUUUGCCUUUUCCAGAAUGUCACACAGUUGGAAUCAUAUAAUGUGUAGCCUCUUCAGAUUGGCUUCUUUUAGUUAGUAAUAUGAUUUAAGUUUUCUCUGUGCCUUUUCAAUGGAUAGCUCAGUAUUUUUUUUAAUUGCUACAUUAUAUUCCAUUGUCUCAAUAAAUUCUAAUGGUUUUAGAUGGCUGAAUGUCUUUCCUGAAGAUCAUAGCUCAGUCUCCUCUUAAUCCCAGAGUCUAGUCAGUCAGUGAACAAAUAUUUAUAGGAAUCCAACAAAGUGCUUUGUCAUUCUCCUAGGCUGUGGUGAUACAGCAGUGAUCAAGACAGACGUGAGCUAAGCCUGUCCUCAUGGAACCUGGGAUACUUUCUAGAAUCCAACAGGUGCCUGGUCGAAAUGUAUUUUUGCUCAUGGCCCAUCAACUCAUUUAGAGUCUUUGUCGUUUUCAAAUAUGGUAAUACACAUCUACUUCCACUAGGUGGUGGUAGAGUCAUGUACCCAGAUUAAUUUGCGCCGUAAUUAAAUCACUAAUUGUUUGCUUGUAAAUACAGUUCUCUUUAUAGUAAGUAAAAUUUAAAUCUGUUUAUAUUAAUUCACUCGAAUGUAAUCACUAAUUAAAAUAAGAACUUUUAACACAUCUUUCAGAAUGAAUCCCAAUAAGUAAAAUUUCUCAAAUUUUUGUCUUUCUUUGUGUAAUAAUGAAAGUGUAUUGAGAUUUGGCUACAUGGCAGGCAUUGUACUAGUAUUGGGGAUUUGGAGUUGAGUAUGAUCCCCUUUUUGUCUUUGGUAUGUUACAAUUUGAUGAGGGAAAAGAGAUCCGAUACAUGCAGUGAAAUGUCUGUGUCUUAAGUGAGCCAUUAGAUGAGACCUGACAGGUGCUGCACCUGUGUAACCCAAAUCCACCUCGAGUUACAGAUCAUUACCAUUUUGGGAUGGCUAUUUUAAGGGCCCUGUGCAGACUGAGUAAGCAGAGGAAGCCAGGUGCGAGAUAAAUGGCGAUGACCAAACCAAGCAUUUACUGAGAGGGUAACCUGGUUUAUUUAUCAGUUCAGAUUCAGCCCUUGUGAAUCCUGGAUGUACUUUGGUUUUGUCCCUGAGAUUUUACAUGAAGUGGUUUUGGUGGUUUUCUUUCACUUGUAGGCAAAACAGUAUAUCCAUGCUAGACUGCCCAUCCUUUACUUUCUAAGAUGGGGGACUUGGUCCUAUACUCCAAGUAACUUAAUUUAAAAAACAAGCAAAAUGAAAAAAACCUUCCAAACCUAAUGGCAGAAGGUUAUUGAAUCACAGGAUUAAAUGUUUCAACGGUGAAAAUCAUAGCCUACUCAAAACAGCUGACUUCACUCAGCCCUUACUCUGUGCUGGGCACUGUCAUCAUCUCUUUUCUAGGGCAGCCCUAAAUAGUCGGUGGUCAGUGUUCCUUGCGUUGGGAACAUCAGUGAGCAAACUCAUGUUGAAAGAGAUUAUAGAAUUUGCGUAACAUUAUAGCUAAAGGAGUCAACUUUUGAAACCCAGGUCUUUCUGGUUCUAAAGCAAGACCUCCCCUAGCCCCUACCCCUUAACCCCCCAACUAUACUGUUCUGUCUUGGGAGGAAUAUUUAAGUUACAGAAUAAAAAUGCUACAGGGGCACCUGGGUGGCUCAGUCGGUUGAGCAUCUGACUUCGGCUCAGGUCAUGAUCUCACAGUUUGUGGGGUCGAGCCCCACAUCAGGCUCUGUGCUGACUGCUUGCUCAGAGCCUGGAGCCUGUUUCAGAUUCUGUGUCUCCUUCUCUCUCUGCCCCUCCCCUGCUCACGCUUUGUCUCACUCUGUUUCUCAAAAAUAAAUAAAUGUAAAAAAAAUUUUUUUAAA